rnacentral:misc_RNA from 1 species
CUCAAACACACAGCAUUUUCCAGCUUUCAACGAUGUUGGACGCCGAUGAUGAUGGCUUCGGCGAUUUCAAGUUCGCGCCAUUCGAUCAUACCGUCCGUUCCAAUCCCAUUCUUAUGAACGGUCGAGAUUCAGCUGCUGCGACCAACGAUGACGAAGACUGGGGAGAUUUCGUCAACUCCGGUGGACUAUCCCACGCCCUAUCGCUCCCCAAAAUCUCGAAGCCCCUUGACCCG